rnacentral:rRNA from 1 species
GACGAACGCUGGCGGCGUGCUUAACACAUGCAAGUCGUACGGUAAGGCCCUUUCGGGGGUACACGAGUGGCGGACGGUUGAGUAAUACGUGAGUAACCUGCCCACCACUUUGGGAUAAUGCUUGGAAACUGGUGCUAAUACUGGAUUUGUGCUUCUGCUGCAUUGUGGGUGUUGGAAAGCUCCGGCGGUUGUGGAUGGACUCGCGGCCCAUCAGCUUGUUGGUGGGGUAGUGGCCUACUAAGGCGGCCACGGGUUGCCGGCCCGAGAGGGUGACCGGCCACAUUGGGACUGCGAUACGGCCCAGACUCCUACGGGAGGCAGCAGUGGAGAAUAUUGCACAAUGGGCGGAAGCCUGAUGCAGCAACGACGCGGGCGGGAUGACGGCCUUCGGGUUGUAAACCGCUUUCAGCAGGGACGAAGCUUUUUGUAACGGUACCUGCAGAAGAAGCACCGGCUAACUACGUG